AGUUAUAGCCAUACCACCCUGAAUGCACCCGAUCUCAUCUGAUUUCGGAAGCUAAGUAGGGUUGGGCCUGGUUAGUACUUGGAUGGGUGACCACCUGGGAAUACCAGGUGCUGUAUGCU